GAAUGAAUGGCCUAGUGGUUAGCGCUCCUGUCUAUGAAUCUUGCAUCGCGGGUUCAAUUCCUAGUGGGGUCA